rnacentral:sRNA from 1 species
UUAUUAUCCUUAAAAAGAUAAAUUAAUUUACUCUUUAAAAUUUUAUUUCUAAUGGCAUACCUAUGUAAUUACUUACAAAAAAUAAGGUUAUAUUUAAAAUGUACUUCCCAAAUAAUAUAGAAGGAUGAUUUUUCAGUAACGGUUUAUAUUUAAUAUAAUUAUGGAUAAUAUGAGCAUUUACCAUAUGACUAAAACUUUCAUGGUGAGUGUAGCUGUCAAGUAGCCUAUUCAGCACGUUUUUUGAAAGAUCUAAAACAUGGUACUGACUUGCCAAAUAAAAGGGAUACAAUUAUUUCGUUUAAAGUGUCAAUUUCUUUUAUAGUGGUAUUUUCUGAUUCAUCAAGCAACCAUCGACCAGUUCUAGCACUCAACACUAGUCAUCUACUACGAAAACACCAAUGAGUGAACUAACACCUUAAUCAUAUUUUUACAUCCGUGAAAAUACCCA